GUUCCUUUCUGUGCAGAGGCCCUGGCAGCCUCAGAGGAGGAGGAAAGCAUUCCGGGAUCUGAAUUCCAGCUCCAUACUGGAUGACUGUGUGAUCAUUAAAAAGCAAAUACUUUACACCUCUCUGAAACACAGUUUCUCCGGUUGUAUAAGAGGGAAGGAGGUUAUACCUACUUUGUGGUAUUACCACUUAUUGAGAUAGAAGAUGUCAACAGUGCAUAGUAACAGGUAUUUUUUGUCAUCUUUACUGUGAUGAGUGACAUCGACUGCCUCUGAGAGCUGGCGACUGACAGGGAGGCUGAUCAUCCAUUUUCCAGGGAAAAUGAGUUUGCUGAUGCACAUUUUGCAGCAGCAUCUGUGUGUCAGACAGUAAUGAAUCCCAGCGUUUACCAUUCAGAGCUGUGACAUCGGCCCAUUUCGGAGGCGGCCUCUUAGGAAGUCAAGGAGUUGUCUGGCCCAGCUGGCUGCUGACCCUCAUUUAGAUGGUCCCUCGGAUCCAGGAGUUGGCCUCGAUGUGGAGUGAAGAGCCCCAGAACUCCAGGAGCGUUUUCAACAUCUCCUCCUCCUCCGCUGCCUUUUCUGGUGGUGCUGGGGACCUUUCCUAAUGCUACUACAUUCCUACUACAAACUGCUCUCCUACGCUGACAUUAGAUGAGAAGAAAAGGGUUGAUUGGAAUUUGAUCCAGAUUUUGCGAGGCGAAUCACGUACAGGAGAUGUGACAGGCACAGAGACCAGCAGCCAGGACACAAAGCCAGGAUUGGGAGGAGGCAGAAUCCCCUGCUAACCUCGGAGGUGCCAAGGCCUCCCGUGUUUUACAGGUCCUGGAAGAAGUGUUUUGCUUCCCACUGACUCUCCUGAGGUCGCACUGAUGUGGCAGCCCAGCCCCUCUUCCAGGGGACCCUGGUGUCCAGCCCUCACCUUUCCGUUCACUUUGGAGAUCUUGCUCAGCGACACUCACGCUGUUUCCAGGUCCCGUUUCGCCUUGCCUCUGCUGCCUCUGCAUCUGAGGACUCUAAGAAAUAUUCCCCACAUUGCAGUUUUAUUCUGUCUUACUCUCCUUCCUCUGGCCUUCUUCCUCCUCUCCACUGUCCUGUUCCCCCAGCUAUAACAUUUGUUGCAGGGUUUCUUAAAUACAAUAAAGCAUCAUGUACAACCAGC